UGUGAGCUCGAUGAGUAGGGCGGGACACGUGGUAUCCUGUCUGAAUAUGGGGGGACCAUCCUCCAAGGCUAAAUACUCCUGACUGACCGAUAGUGAACCAGUACCGUGAGGGAAAGGCGAAAAGAACCCCGGCGAGGGGAGUGAAAAAGAACCUGAAACCGUGUACGUACAAGCAGUGGGAGCACGCUUAGGCGUGUGACUGCGUACCUUUUGUAUAAUGGGUCAGCGACUUAUAUUCUGUAGCAAGGUUAACCGAAUAGGGGAGCCGAAGGGAAACCGAGUCUUAACUGGGCGUUAAGUUGCAGGGUAUAGACCCGAAACCCGGUGAUCUAGCCAUGGGCAGGUUGAAGGUUGGGUAACACUAACUGGAGGACCGAACCGACUAAUGUUGAAAAAUUAGCGGAUGACUUGUGGCUGGGGGUGAAAGGCCAAUCAAACCGGGAGAUAGCUGGUUCUCCCCGAAAGCUAUUUAGGUAGCGCCUCGUGAAUUCAUCUCCGGGGGUAGAGCACUGUUUCGGCAAGGGGGUCAUCCCGACUUACCAACCCGAUGCAAACUGCGAAUACCGGAGAAUGUUAUCACGGGAGACACACGGCGGGUGCUAACGUCCGUCGUGAAGAGGGAAACAACCCAGACCGCCAGCUAAGGUCCCAAAGUCAUGGUUAAGUGGGAAACGAUGUGGGAAGGCCCAGACAGCCAGGAUGUUGGCUUAGAAGCAGCCAUCAUUUAAAGAAAGCGUAAUAGCUCACUGGUCGAGUCGGCCUGCGCGGAAGAUGUAACGGGGCUAAACCAUGCACCGAAGCUGCGGCAGCGACGCUUAUGCGUUGUUGGGUAGGGGAGCGUUCUGUAAGCCUGCGAAGGUGUGCUGUGAGGCAUGCUGGAGGUAUCAGAAGUGCGAAUGCUGACAUAAGUAACGAUAAAGCGGGUGAAAAGCCCGCUCGCCGGAAGACCAAGGGUUCCUGUCCAACGUUAAUCGGGGCAGGGUGAGUCGACCCCUAAGGCGAGGCCGAAAGGCGUAGUCGAUGGGAAACAGGUUAAUAUUCCUGUACUUGGUGUUACUGCGAAGGGGGGACGGAGAAGGCUAUGUUGGCCGGGCGACGGUUGUCCCGGUUUAAGCGUGUAGGCUGGUUUUCCAGGCAAAUCCGGAAAAUCAAGGCUGAGGCGUGAUGACGAGGCACUACGGUGCUGAAGCAACAAAUGCCCUGCUUCCAGGAAAAGCCUCUAAGCAUCAGGUAACAUCAAAUCGUACCCCAAACCGACACAGGUGGUCAGGUAGAGAAUACCAAGGCGCUUGAGAGAACUCGGGUGAAGGAACUAGGCAAAAUGGUGCCGUAACUUCGGGAGAAGGCACGCUGAUAUGUAGGUGAAGUCCCUUGCGGAUGGAGCUGAAAUCAGUCGAAGAUACCAGCUGGCUGCAACUGUUUAUUAAAAACACAGCACUGUGCAAACACGAAAGUGGACGUAUACGGUGUGACGCCUGCCCGGUGCCGGAAGGUUAAUUGAUGGGGUCAGCGCAAGCGAAGCUCUUGAUCGAAGCCCCGGUAAACGGCGGCCGUAACUAUAACGGUCCUAAGGUAGCGAAAUUCCUUGUCGGGUAAGUUCCGACCUGCACGAAUGGCGUAAUGAUGGCCAGGCUGUCUCCACCCGAGACUCAGUGAAAUUGAACUCGCUGUGAAGAUGCAGUGUACCCGCGGCAAGACGGAAAGACCCCGUGAACCUUUACUAUAGCUUGACACUGAACAUUGAGCCUUGAUGUGUAGGAUAGGUGGGAGGCUUAGAAGUGUGGACGCCAGUCUGCAUGGAGCCGACCUUGAAAUACCACCCUUUAAUGUUUGAUGUUCUAACGUUGACCCGUAAUCCGGGUUGCGGACAGUGUCUGGUGGGUAGUUUGACUGGGGCGGUCUCCUCCUAAAGAGUAACGGAGGAGCACGAAGGUUGGCUAAUCCUGGUCGGACAUCAGGAGGUUAGUGCAAUGGCAUAAGCCAGCUUGACUGCGAGCGUGACGGCGCGAGCAGGUGCGAAAGCAGGUCAUAGUGAUCCGGUGGUUCUGAAUGGAAGGGCCAUCGCUCAACGGAUAAAAGGUACUCCGGGGAUAACAGGCUGAUACCGCCCAAGAGUUCAUAUCGACGGCGGUGUUUGGCACCUCGAUGUCGGCUCAUCACAUCCUGGGGCUGAAGUAGGUCCCAAGGGUAUGGCUGUUCGCCAUUUAAAGUGGUACGCGAGCUGGGUUUAGAACGUCGUGAGACAGUUCGGUCCCUAUCUGCCGUGGGCGCUGGAGAACUGAGGGGGGCUGCUCCUAGUACGAGAGGACCGGAGUGGACGCAUCACUGGUGUUCGGGUUGUCAUGCCAAUGGCACUGCCCGGUAGCUAAAUGCGGAAGAGAUAAGUGCUGAAAGCAUCUAAGCACGAAACUUGCCCCGAGAUGAGUUCUCCCUGACUCCUUGAGAGUCCUGAAGGAACGUUGAAGACGACGACGUUGAUAGGCCGGGUGUGUAAGCGCAGCGAUGCGUUGAGCUAACCGGUACUAAUGAACCGUGAGGCUUAACCUUACAACGCCGAAG
rnacentral:rRNA from 1 species